rnacentral:rRNA from 1 species
UACGGAGGGAGCUAGCGUUGUUCGGAAUUACUGGGCGUAAAGCGCGCGUAGGCGGCUUUGUAAGUUAGAGGUGAAAGCCCGGAGCUCAACUCCGGAACUGCCUUUGAAACUGCAUCGCUUGAAUCCAGGAGAGGUGAGUGGAAUUCCGAGUGUAGAGGUGAAAUUCGUAGAUAUUCGGAAGAACACCAGUGGCGAAGGCGGCUCACUGGACUGGUAUUGACGCUGAGGUGCGAAAGCGUGGGGAGCAAACAGG